rnacentral:rRNA from 1 species
GAUGAACGCUGGCGGCGUGCCUAAUACAUGCAAGUCGAGCGAAUGGAUUAAGAGCUUGCUCUUAUGAAGUUAGCGGCGGACGGGUGAGUAACACGUGGGCAACCUGCCCAUAAGACUGGGAUAACUCCGGGAAACCGGGGCUAAUACCGGAUAACAUUUUGAACCGCAUGGUUCGAAAUUGAAAGGCGGCUUCGGCUGUCACUUAUGGAUGGACCCGCGUCGCAUUAGCUAGUUGGUGAGGUAACGGCUCACCAAGGCAACGAUGCGUAGCCGACCUGAGAGGGUGAUCGGCCACACUGGGACUGAGACACGGCCCAGACUCCUACGGGAGGCAGCAGUAGGGAAUCUUCCGCAAUGGACGAAAGUCUGACGGAGCAACGCCGCGUGAGUGAUGAAGGCUUUCGGGUCGUAAAACUCUGUUGCUAGGGAAGAACAAGUGCUAGUUGAAUAAGCUGGCACCUUGACGGUACCUAACCAGAAAGCCACGGCUAACUACGUGCCAGCAGCCGCGGUAA